AACGCACAUUGCGCCCUUUGGCAUUCCGAAGGGCAUGCCUGUUCGAGCGUCAUUAUCAACCCUCAAGCUUGGCUUGUUGUUGGACCGAAGGGAAGUUGACUCUUCCCUGGUCUUGAAGACAAUGACGGCGUCUAGAGGACCCUCAACACAAUGAGCUUUUUAAGCACGUGUUGUAGUGGAUCUUUAGGCCCGGUCUCCUUUUAUUUUUUUCAGGUUGACCUCGGAUCAGGUAGGGAUACCCGCUGAACUUAA
rnacentral:misc_RNA from 1 species